UACGUAGGGUGCAAGCGUUAAUCGGAAUUACUGGGCGUAAAGCGUGCGCAGGCGGUGAUGUAAGACAGUUGUGAAAUCCCCGGGCUCAACCUGGGAACUGCAUCUGUGACUGCAUUGCUGGAGUGCGGCAGAGGGGGAUGGAAUUCCGCGUGUAGCAGUGAAAUGCGUAGAUAUGCGGAAGAACACCGAUGGCGAAGGCAAUCCCCUGGGCCUGCACUGACGCUCAUGCACGAAAGCGUGGGGAGCAAACAGG
rnacentral:rRNA from 1 species